rnacentral:misc_RNA from 1 species
AGGGUUGGUGUAGGGCUGUGC